GGAUGGGAAAGGGCCAGCGCGGGCUCGCCGCUGCAUCCUGCCCCGAGAUCAGCGCACCCGCGCCGGCGGAGGAAGCGCCCGGGCGGCUGAGCCCAGCUCGGUGCCCGCACCGGCCUCCAGCGCGGGGGGGCUGUUUGCAGUCGCCACGGAGCAGGUGCUGGGGAGCCUGCCAGCCUCAGGCCCGGCAAUUGAAUAUUUGCCUCUGUGGAUGAGAGCACAUACCGACGCGAGUGGCUGCGCUGAGAUCUGGGGUGUGAGAACUGAGCAUGCCAUGAGCUACCUGCGCAGGGAGAGUGGCUUGGAAGAGGAUGGGUAACAACAAAGUGACAUGAGCUGCCCGAGGAAAGAUCAAUGAAAACUGGCACUGUUAGCUUUGGCUGGAAGAGGAUGUUGGUCCUUUUCACAUGUUGCACGUGACAUGGGGAAGAAAUCAGUGCACUGGCAACUAAGCACAAAUCCUUUUGUUUGCUGCUAUGAGGCACCAGCACGGCUGGGCAAUAGGGGAGAGGUGGAAGAAUCUGCUGGGGUCUGGCAUGUCAAUGAGCAUACAAAGCACCCCAUUUUGCUUGAGAACAUCUAUAUCUGGCACUGUCACUAUAAGUAGCCAGUCAAGAGAUACACUGCAAUAUAAA